rnacentral:rRNA from 1 species
UUUCCCGGUUGAUCCCGCCGGAGGUCACUGCUAUUGGGAUUCGACUAAGCCAUGCGAGUCGAGAGGGUUCGGCCCUCGGCUGACGGCUCAGUAACACGUGGAUAAUCUGCCAUAAGGUGGAGGAUACCCUCGGGAAACUGAGAAUAAUACUCCAUAGGCCUAGGAAUGCUGGAAUGCACUUAGGCUCAAAGCUCCGGCGCCCUAGGAUGAGUCUGCGGACUAUCAGGUUGUAGUCAGGGUAAAGACCUGACUAGCCUACGACGGAUACGGGUUGUGAGAGCAAUAACCCGGAGAUGAUAUCUGAGACACGAUAUCAGGCCCUACGGGGCGCAGCAGGCGCGAAAACUUCACAAUGUGCGAAAGCACGAUGAGGGGAUCCCAAGUGCUUGCUUGUAAGAGUAAGCUGUUUCUAUGUUUAAAACGCAUGGAGAGUAAGGGCUGGGUAAGACGGGUGCCAGCCGCCGCGGUAAUACCUGCAGCUCUAGUGGUGGCCGCUAUUAUUGGGCCUAAAACGUCCGUAGCCGGUUUAAUAAAUGCCUGGGUAAAUCGUGUAGCUUAACUAUACGAAUUCCGGGUAGACUGUUAAACUUGAGACCGGGAGAAGUUAGAGGUACUCCUGGGGUAGAGGUGAAAUUCUGUAAUCCUAGGGGGACCACCAGUGGCGAAGGCGUCUGACUAGAACGGGUCUGACGGUGAGGGACGAAGCCCUGGGGCGCAAACCGGAUUAGAUACCCGGGUAGUCCAGGGUGUAAACGCUGCUUGCUUGAUGUUAGUCGGGCUCCGAGCCCGAUUAGUGUCGGAGAGAAGUUGUUAAGCAAGCUGCCUGGGAAGUACGGUCGCAAGACUGAAACUUAAAGGAAUUGGCGGGGGAGCACAGCAACGGGUGGAGCGUGCGGUUUAAUUGGAUUCAACGCCGGG